rnacentral:rRNA from 1 species
GUGCCAGCCGCCGCGGUAAUACGUAGGGAGCGAGCGUUGUCCGGAAUUACUGGGUGUAAAGGGUGCGUAGGCGGGACUGCAAGUCAGGCGUGAAAUACCGGAGCUUAACUCCGGGGCUGCGCUUGAAACUGUGGUUCUUGAGUGAAGUAGAGGUAGGCGGAAUUCCUAGUGUAGCGGUGAAAUGCGUAGAUAUUAGGAGGAACACCAGUGGCGAAGGCGGCCUACUGGGCUUUAACUGACGCUGAGGCACGAAAGCAUGGGGAGCAAACAGGAUUAGAUACCCUGGUAGUCCAUGCCGUAAACGAUGAUAGCUAGGUGUGGGGGGACUGACCCCUUCCGUGCCGGAGUAAACACAAUAAGCUAUCCACCUGGGGAGUACGACCGCAAGGUUGAA